UACGUAGGUGGCAAGCGUUGUCCGGAAUUAUUGGGCGUAAAGCGCGCGCAGGCGGUCCUUUAAGUCUGAUGUGAAAGCCCACGGCUCAACCGUGGAGGGUCAUUGGAAACUGGGGGACUUGAGUACAGAAGAGAAGAGUGGAAUUCCACGUGUAGCGGUGAAAUGCGUAGAGAUGUGGAGAACACCAGUGGCGAAGGCGACUCUUUGGUCUGUAACUGACGCUGAGGCGCGAAAGCGUGGGGAGCAAACAGG
rnacentral:rRNA from 1 species